rnacentral:lncRNA from 7 species
AGGUUGGCUUUUGUCUCUGCUAUGAAUGCAAGUGACGAAUUGAAGUGACGAAUUGCAGUAAUGGUGGGGAGAACACAUUGGUAACAGAGAGGCCACUGAUCAGUGUCUUUCUCAGAAGGUUCUCAGUAAAGCAGUGCCUUUCCCCCCCGUGUGCUGGAUCUUGCAGCCAUGUCUCUGGUCCCUGGUUUAUAGUGCCUAAAGGCUAUGCGGAACUGAGUGCUGUUCUGGCAUCUUGCCUGCUUCCUGCCUGAGUGCCCCCACUGCAGGAUGAGAGAUUUGCUUUGUGACGUUCCAUGGAGGGUACUGAGCUGCCACUUCUACUUGCUUAGAGACAACUUCUUGCACAGAACGGGAGGAGAUGCACGGUGUUCCAUCUUCAAAGAGGGCUUUACGCUACGCUGUUACUGUGUAUUCCAGUAAUGUUCUAUGGAUUUUCAAUUCACUCUGUCACAUCACCUUUGUGGUGUGACUGCGAUGCUGAAAUUCCAGGUUGUGGAGGAACACGGGCAGUACAUGUGCUGUGUGACACAACCCAUCGCCGUAGGCCUCGCGGCCUGUGUGUGUGUCUGCACUGCGUGGGUUCCAAGGCAGCAGCCCUCCCCGGAGCAAGGAGCCCUGAGCAGCACAGCAUGGGCAGCCCAGGUGCCUCCUAUCAUGGACUGCUAUCUGUCCUGUAUAGCAGGAGCAAAGAGAGGCCUCGAGAUCUCCAAGAUCCAUGUUAUAAUGGAAAUACACCAGCAGCACUACACAAUGAAGGCCAAGUUUCAAUUGGUGUGGAUGCAAACUCUGGUUCUGCUCACCUGUGUGAGGUUUUCCCCUCCGCUCCUUCCCACGAGGAUUACCAUGGAGGGAAGCUCCCAGCGUAGGCAUGACUGACACAAACCUGCUGCUGCCAGUAAGAGUCAUGUUUAGCAUGUAGGACAUCGCCUGAAGUUUAUCUGUGUGGGCCUGUAAAAAUAGCCAUCAGAUAGAUGGCUUUUUCCAGAUUAAAUGCUCAUAUC